UACAGAGUGGUGUAUUCCCAUAGUAAUCAGUGUUCAUCUAUUAUACAUCCUGAUCCUGUCUUUGAAAUGAAUAUAAAUACCACUUUUUUUUUUUACAUAGUGCUUGGAGACUUGACUGCUGGACUCAGGGUGAACUGUCAAUUCUGCCAGUGUUGUUCUACUACGUGUACAAAGUGCAGUAACUCUGUCACUAGCCCCACUGCAGGGCCCCGAUUUUUGGCCUGCCCACAUCAGGCCCCGUGUCGCCCAUUGUUGGCCCCUGUCUUACUGGUUUGCCCGUUGUUGGCCCGUGUCGCCCAUUGUUGGCCCCUGUCUUACUGAUUUGCCCAUUGUUGGCCUGUGUCGCCCAUUGUUGGCCCCUGUCUUACUGGUUUGCCCAUUGUUGGCCCCUGUCUUACUGGUUUGCCCAUUGUUGGCCCCUGUCUUACUGGUUUGCCCAUUGUUGGCCCCUGUCUUACUGGUUUGCCCAUUGUUGGACCCUGUUUUAUGCAAUGACCAUUGGUCCCUGUGUUUGAUUACCUGAUUUCUACAGUGUUAUUGAUUAACUGAUAUCUACUGUGUUACUGCUUACCUGGUUUCAACGUUCUGUUUGGUAUCAAGUACCUGUCUAUCUAUUUGUGGUUCUGAGAGUUUCUCUGCUCUGUUCUAUCUCUCUCUCAUCAUAUCAGCUUAAAUUGCUCAACUAAAGUGCACACAUAAUUGCAAAACUGAUAAAUACUGUUGCUGACUCAGUCUUACUGUUGAGCUACUGUUUCUUGUCUACGAGGCACCUGGAUUCAGGUGGAGGAAGCUGCAAGCAGAAGCUCUCAUCUCAUCACUGCAACAACUGCCUGAACUUAACUGUGUUAAGACUUAACAUAAGACUAUAAUAACAUACGCCUAUAAUAGUAUAAAGGUUAUUCUGCUGGUAAGUGCAAAGAAUCUUAGAGGAUAUUAAGACUGUUGGUCUGAAUAUAAGUGAAAACUAUUACAAACACAGUUCGACUUAAUUUAUCCACUUGUGAUUCAUAUUAAAGAAAUAUUGUCAUUGUUCUCAAACUUUUCAGUUCAGUGAGGCUUUUCAGGUUUGUAGACUUGUUACAAUCUAAUAACUAUCCUGAAUUUAAUUUGAAUAUUAUUAGGUUAUUGGUCCCUGAUGUAAAAAGGUAAAUUAAAAUAAAGAAUAUAAAACCAAUGGUGAAUAGACCUUUCACAUUAGGUACGAUAUUAUUUAGUGUAAAACGUCCUACUUAAAGGGUUUCACACCAGGUAUUACACAGGUUUGACAAAUCCUGUAGUUUUGAAUUUAUAAUAAAUAUUCUUAUUUAUACCUAAAA